rnacentral:rRNA from 1 species
CCUACGGGAGGCUGCAGUGGGGGAUAUUGCACAAUGGGGGGAACCCUGAUGCAGCGACGCCGCGUGGGUGAAGAAGCGCCUCGGCGCGUAAAGCCCUGUCAGCAGGGAAGAAAAUGACGGUACCUGAAGAAGAAGCCCCGGCUAACUACGUGCCAGCAGCCGCGGUAAUACGUAGGGGGCAAGCGUUAUCCGGAUUUACUGGGUGUAAAGGGGGCGCAGGCGGCGGUGCAAGUCAGGAGGGAAAGCCCGGGGCCCAACCCUGGGACUGCUCUUGGAACUGCGUGGCUGGAGUGCAGGAGGGGCAAGUGGAAUUCUUGGUGUAGCGGUGAAAUGCGUAGAUAUCAGGAGGAACACCGGUGGCGAAGGCGGCUUGCUGGACUGUAAAUGACGUUGAGGCUCGAAAGCGUGGGGAGCAAACAGGAUUAGAUACCCCGGUAGUC